rnacentral:lncRNA from 1 species
GAAUUAACACUUUUUCUUGUAUUAUGCAGUUUAUCUUUCUUUUAUUCGUAAAGAAAGUCCUACACGAAAUUGUAAGAGAUGUAGUAUAUUAAACUGAACACGGAGAGUGCCGUACACUAGCUAGUAAUGCAGCUACAUGCUUAUAAAAAGUAAAAUCACAAAAAUACUGAAUUCCGAGGAAAACUCAAAACAGUAAGUCCCUAGUCAAAUAACAAAAUAAAAAGCUUAAACACAC